rnacentral:lncRNA from 1 species
GCUGGCAGCUACAGCUCUGAUUCGACCCCUCACUGGGGAAUUUCCACAUGCCACAGGUACGGCCAUAAAAAUGAAACAAAAUAACUAAAAAAUAAAAUUUUAUAACUGUAACGUGUUCUAGUCCGCAUAUAGAUUAACUUUCAUGAAUUAAUAUGAAUUUAUUUUCUUUUUGAAAAAACGGCCCAGAAGAGAAAACCAGGAGCUUGUCCUCUAGAUAGAUGCUGAGAAAACAUGGAGAAGCUUAAGUAAGUGACGGUUCUGAGCCAGCAAGUAGAAGUGUUAGAUGAGUUAUAGCAGGUCCAUCUUGUGAACCAGAGCCAUGAUCCAAAUACACCCACCUUAUGUCCCAUUUUUGAAUAAAAAGAAAUUUGUGAAAUUCUUUCAGUACCCAUUCCAACCAAGACAAAAGCUCUCAGGGUGAGAUAAAACUUUAGUGACAGUGAAAAGAGUAAUUAAUUUGUGGUCUGAGGCUCAGCACAGCAGAUAAGUAAAUGUCAGCAGGAAUACAAUUUAGGAGAAUGUAUGAAGCCUGCACAGUGUUAAUAAGGUACAAAUUCAGGAAUGUUGACCACCUUAUUUAUAUCUACUGUGGAGCCAUCAGUUACAUAAGUGUGCCUGGGUCCACAUGUAUUGGCAGCUGUUUGUCACACUGCUGGAUACCAAAGAAUUGCAUAUAUGAUAAGGGUGUAAAUGCAACUUCUAAGGGGUGAGUAUUCAACAAAGUAGCUUUUACGAUGCAGUGCAGCCUGUUAUUACUCUCUCCCUUCUUAAGAACAUCUCUCAUCUCAUGUCUGCACAGACAUGAAGGACAUGAAGAUGUCAAUGAAAGAUGCAUCAAAAAGAAUAAUAUGGGCAACAAAAGGAGCAGCCAGUUGUUAAGGAUUCAGUGUUGUCAUUGCUAUGUUGAGGAUUCAGUCCCUGACCUGGGAACUUCCGCGUGCCAUGGACGAAGCCAAAAAAAACCCCCAAAAAACACAGAAUGAUAGGCUUGGAAGGGACCUGAGAAAUUAUUAGUCUGACCUCCUGGUUUGGCAUAUCAGAAAGUCUUGCUUCUGAGAGACAAAGUGACUUUCGAAACCACCAAAGUUAAUGUGAUAUCUGACAUUAUUCCACCCAACCUCCCCUCGUCUCCUUAAUAUCUAACUGGCCCCAGUUCUCUCUCUGUUGCACCUGUCACCCUUCUCUUGUUCUGACCUGGUUGUAUUUUUCCAUUGCAUAGCUGGAGCAUGACCAGAAAGGCAAGUGAGAAACCAGACAAUUUAUAUAACCUCACACAUGAGAUCAAAUUAGUGAGUGAGGGACCAACGUGGAUGCGCUCUUAUCCUUAGUUCGUUGAGGAAAAUAAGUUAGCUUUGAAUAGAUGAUUGUUCUGGACUGGGGAAUUUUUAUUUAUAGUUGAAUUCUGUACCACUUUGUAUGCUUUUAGUCAUUUCAAUGGGGUAAAUUCUGAGAUUGAGAUUAACACAUACACACUACUAUGUAGAAAAUAGAUCAUCAACAAGGACCUACUGUAUAGCACAGGAAACUCUACUGAACAUUCUGUAAUAACCUAUAUGGGAAAAGAAUCUGAAAAAGGAUGGAUAUGAAUAACUGGAUCACUUUGCUAUACACCUGAAAUUAACACAGCACUGUAAAUCAACUCUACUCCAAUAUAAAAUAAGGACUAAAUUAAAAAUAAAUGUUAGCAUUAAUUUAAAAUAUAAAGACUAAUGACCAAAAACCAAGGGAAGUAAAAUUAUAUACAUGAUCGUUUUCAGUUCUUUGAAGAAGAUAUUAGCAUUCUGACAUAGCCUACGCUUCAAGUCAUCUAGCAGUCCUUAGAACUAAAUUACUAAAAUAGUACGCACACUUCUAAAAGACUUCCACAAGUUACUGGAAACCGUGUUGAUGUGGAAUGAUUUACAGUUAUGUCCUCAUUUGUUGUCCUACAAGCUUUCUGGUGUAAUACUGUCAUCAGUCAUGGCUAGAAGGUUUAUUAUUUCUUUGGACUCCUCCUCUUGCCAUUAACCAAUAUUUGUCACACUUCCAUGUGACAGGUCUCCCUCAGACAGGCCUUUCAGACGUCUGCAUCUUUUUACCCUGUGUCUUUUCUUUAUUAUCUUGUUAAGCUCUCCCAAGGGACAUGUUUCUAGUCCUGGAUGAAGAUUGCAUUCUUCUGAUUUUUCUUUCUUUUUUUCACAAUGACGUCUGUCAUGUCAACACCAUGACAUCAACAGGCAGCAGUUUUUAUUUUAAAACCAUCAGUAGUCUGUGGGAGUCCCUCAGAAGAUAUUUGCCGCUGCUUUCUUUUUUCUGCUUGAGAACUUUUCCUUCUUUACUCAUCUGAAUCACUGGGAGAUUGGAAAGCAUAUUAUGACUAAGAAAAUGAGUGAAAAUGUAUUGAGCAUUUACCAUGUGCUGUUCAACACUCGUUUAAUCUUUAUAACCACCUAAGAGAGAGAGAGAGAUGCUAUGCUAGUCUUCUUUUUUUGUUGUUUGUUUGUUUUUGUUUGUUUUUUGCCUUUUCUAGGGCCGAUCCUGCGGCAUAUGGAGGUUCCCAGGCUAGGGGUCUAAUCGGAGCUGGAGCUGCCUGCCUACACCAGAGCCACAGCAACUCAGGAUUGAGCCGCGUCUGUGACCUACACCACAGCUCACGGCAAUGCUGGAUCCUUAACCCACUGAGCAAGGCCAGGGAUCAAGCCUGCAACCACAUGAUUCCUAGUCAGAUUCGUUAACCACUGCGCCACGACCGGGAACUCCUAUGCUAGUCUUCUUAUAGAUGAAAAUCAUCUAGGCUUCACCAAGUCACAUUGCUCAGGGUCCUCCAACAGGAGUAAGUGGCAGGGAAGGACCAGAAAUCAAGUCUAUCUAACUCCAUCAUUAGUGCUUUGAACCACCUGCUGGUUCAUCUUCUCUCUCUUGGUGGGGGCGGUGCAGCGGGGGGCAGCUCACACUUAACAUCAUCAUGAUGGUGAUUUUUUCAGGGCAAGUGUUAUUGAUGACAGCUGUGUUCUACUAAGGCUUAUCUUUGCACGCUAUUCAAAAGGAAUCUGAACUUCAGCAGUUUUUUUAAGUGUUACAUUUCAAGUGGCCCAUGAUGAGUUCAACACAUAUUUUUAACUUAAUUAUAUGAAUGGAUAAAUAAAUUAUAGGUAUGCACUUCCUUAUUCUUUGAGAAAAUGUACGUAAACCUCCUGUGUCAGAUCACGCCAUCCUCCUACCAACCUUGCAAGCUCACUUUUAAACAAAAGGCAUCUUUUCAUGCCAAAAACUCCAAAUAAUGGAUCCCAACAUUUUUCUUACCAUUUCAUUGCAUUUAUUCUUAAGAACCCCUCAUACUGAAGGUUUCUAUACUACCAAAUUUUAGUUGUUAAAAGACAAGGCAUUAAUUUCAUCUGUUUAAGGAGUUGGACAACUGUGAGUCAGAAUCAAUGCUUUGCGUGAUGGAGAGCUGCCAAGUUUGGUCUGAAUGGUUUGUAGCGCUUAGAGACUUAUUAACGAAUGCAAUAAUGAAACAGAACAUUUUCAUUUAAUGACUGCCUACAGUGUCAUUUAACUUUUCCCCCCCCAAAUCUGUGUGGAAUGAAGGGCCCCACUGGAAGACAACUUCCCUAAUUGCCUCAUUGUCCGGGAUGCACAGCCGGUGAGGGCUGAGACCCUUUCAGGCUUGGCUCUGAGUGCUAAACUAAAAAGUUCAGUAACUCAUUCAAAUGAUACAAAAUGAUUCAACUUAAAUUAGCCCUCCUAAGGCUAUAGGUUGGCUUGGCACUAACACACAGACAGGAGCUGUGGGCAGAAAACCAGCAUUAAAUCACCACCUUUAUGACUCUUUAUAACCCAGGACUCGGAGGAUCUAGGACCAGAAUUUUCCUUUUUUCCUUGACGUGGUUCCUUUUCUGAAAAGCAUCGAGAAAAGGGCUGGGCAAUGUGCCUGAAUACAUUAUUCUACCACUACUCUGUUCCUCCUUACUUCUUCCACCAGAAACAAGGCCACCUUUUUUUUUUUUUUUCCAAAACUAGAACCAAAAUUCCCUCUUCUCUUCCUUGGGAGGAAGCGAGAACCCCACAGCAAUGCACUUUAUGAAAGCAGGUGCAGGAAGAGCUGGGGGCUGGAGACACGUUUCUCUUGAGAGUCUGUAGAAGCUGUUCCUUAGACAUGGAGCAGUUUGCUCUUAUGAACAAAACCGCAUUGUUCCUUUCUUCAGAUCUGAAUGGAGUUAGUUAAGCUUUCAGUGGAAGUGUGAAAAUGGCAAGACAAAGAAGAGCAUAUCCUUGUUAAGCAACUCAAAAUGAAAGAGGUGGAGGAAGAUGGUGGUACCAGUUAUAAAAUGUUUUGGACUCCUUAAUGAGACUUUGUGGUUUUCAUUAAUUUCAGGACUGUCAUCUAACAGGAAUUCCACCAAAGGGAUACUUUUAUAGCAACUUCAAUGUGCAACCUCUCAGCAUCAGGGAAAAUCAGAGCAACAGCCUCAUCUCUCUUCAAUGCCCAGAAAAAAAGUAUUCAAAAGCAUCAGCAUUCAUCAGUCAUUUUCAACAGUGUUCUAGUUAGUGCCUUCCAUGUCUGUCCUGAAAGAUGAAAGAGAAGGUCAGGACCCUAAUUAUCUAAUCUUUGAAAGCUGGACUUUUAAUGAAAAUUUCAAUGUUAGAAAAAUUAUUUUUAUAUUCUACUUUGCUCAUUAACUUUCAAAGUUAAGUAUAGUCUAAAUAUUCCUGAUUGUAGAUAUAGUGAGAAAGUAGAUUUCCUACAGUGUGAGUAUAUGAGUUUGAGUUUAUUGGAAGCUCAACAGAUAGUAAUAGGACUUCCUGGGGAAUGGGGGUGGGGGGAGCAUGGAAGGAGAAGCUAUAUCUGGGUUUUUUUCUGUUUGUUUGUUCUUUUUUAUGGCUGCACUCAGGGCAUAUGGAAGUUCCCAGACCAGGGAUUGAAUCCAAGCCACAGCUGUAGCCUACGUUGCAGCUAUGGCAAUCCCGAAUCCUUUAAUCCACUGUGCCAGGCUGGGGAUUGAACCCCUUCCUCUGCAGAGACCCAGGCUGCUGCAGUCAGAUUCUUAACCCACUGUACCACAGCAGGAACUCCUAUGCUAUCAGUUUUUAAUAUGAAAUUACAUAUAUGAAGGAGGAAACUCUUUGGUAAUAGGGUGUGGGGAAAGAUCAUUAAAUUUGACCUUUGGUGGUUUUAACUGUUAGAUGCUGCUAGAGGGCAUUAAAAAAAAAAAAAAAACCUGAUAUAAUAAAUACCCUGUUACUCUCUGAGCAGAAAUUUCCUCAUUUGCAAAAUGGAGCUAAUAGUAAUGUCUACUUCAGGAGUGAUGAGGAUUGAAUGAAUUAAUAAUAAGAAUGUCUUAGCACAGUGCCUAACAUACAGUACUUGCUGAAUUUAUGCAUCAUUGUUACUGUUAUUCUUUUCAAUACUAUUAUUAGAGAGGAAGUAGGAUGAUAUACUGAAGCAGAGAUUAAAUGUUUGUUAGAACUAAAUCUUAGGAAGUUCCCUUCAUGGCACAACAGAAAUGAACCUGAUCAGGAUCAUGAGGACUCAGGUUCGAUCCCUGGCCUCGCUCAGUGGGUUAAGGAUCCGGCCUUGCCAUGAGCUGUGGUGUAGGUCACAGAUGCAGCUUGGUUCUGGCAUUAUCGUGGCUGUGGUGUAGGCUGGCAGCCACAGCUUGGAUUUGACCCCUUGCCUGGGAACCUCCAUAUGCUGUGGGUGCGGCCCUAAAGAAAAAAAACUAAACCUUAGAGGUAAAGAUGUUCCAGUAAAGUUAGGAAGGUUAACCAGGAACCAGGACAGAAUCUGCCAUGGGAAAAUAACCCCGCCAAAUGUGCUGAUAGAGUUUGGUGAAUCACACCAGGGAAACAGAGUAAGUAUAUCCAUAAUUAGCUGAAAAAUCAGUCAGCUGUUUCCUGUGGGCAAGAACAGGGGCACAGGUGCUCACAUGAGCCCAGGACUGGGAGCAGUUGUGGGAACCUAAGAAAAAGAGGUCUCUGGUGAGAAUGAAACCAUUCGACUUUUUCAGGGAAUUUUUCAGAGAGCCAGGGCUAAGGGAGAGAGAACCAGGUCUGAGCCAGGGACAUUGAGCCCGGGAAACCAUUCGACUUUUUCAGGGAAUUUUUCAGAGAGCCAGGGCUAAGGGAGAGAGAACCAGGUCUGAGCCAGGGACAUUGAGCCCGGGAAACCAUUCGACUUUUUCAGGGAAUUUUUCAGAGAGCCAGGGCUAAGGGAGAGAGAACCAGGUCUGAGCCAGGGACAUUGAGUCCGUUUUUACCUAGUAAAUUGCAGACAUGAAAAAUGAUCACCAUACAGACCACUGUCCAAGGGAGGGAAUGGCUGUCUCCUUGAAAAAAAGAGAUAACCUGGAUGAGGAAGACUUACUGUUUCCAGAAAAUGCCUGGCACAUAGUAGCUAACUAAAUAAUAUUUGUUGCUUGACUGACUGACUGAUGAGUGAAUGAACUGCCGUCAGCUCAAGAGCAUGGCUUUUAGAGGUGAUCUUACCUUCCUUCUUGCUCCACAUUGAGUCAAUAGGAAAGAUGGUCACAGAGAAUCUAGAUGAGGGACUUGUGUGUUUCCAUGCAGGUACACUCUGAGAGGAUGUUCUUCCUUGCCACCACCCUGAAGCUACACACCAUUUAGAAUAUCGACUCUAUGUUAAUAUAUGUGAAGAUUCCACGUAGAGAGCAACUUCCUCAGGCAUUUCAUGGCAUCGUUUAUUGAUUCUUUGGCAGGCUUUUAAUGAGCAUUGUGUACAGUGGCUAUUGAAAAGGACAUACCAAAUUUUUUUUCGAUUAGACUAUAAGCUGUGUGGAUAUCGGACAGGAUUUUAUUAGACAUCCACACAGAACAGUGAAGAAACUAGCAAAGCAAUAGGAUAUAUACUCAGGGACUCAGAGGAGUAGAAAAGACACCGGAGCAGAAUAACCAAAGGUGUUUAUCUUUCUUUUUAUCUUGUUUGUUUUUUCUGGGCUUUGAAGAACAGGUAGAAUUUCAAUACAUGAAAGAGAGGAGAAAAGCAUUUCUAUUGGGGGAGGUUGUAAGUGGUAUGUGUAAGUUUAUGUGUGGAAGGUUUGUGUGUAGUUUAUUUUUGAAACAGUAUGGGGAUGGGAGGUGCUAGAGGCUCGAAUUGGUAAGUAAUGGCAGUUACUCACUGGAUAAGGAAGAUAUGAUUAAAUGGUGGAGAUUUGGGGAUGAAGCUCUUAGACUUGCUCUGCUGAGGAUGAAGAAAAAUAUUACAGAUUUUUGGAAACAAAAAAUGACGUGAUAUUUUUGCCAGUGUUUAAGGUUGAUAAGAGAAAGGAAAGAUGGGAAACAGACAAAAUAGGUAGGUAAAAGACCACUGAUGUAAUAAGGUAGAUUUAAACAUUGAGGGCUUAUUUGCUUUGACUGUAGCGAGGGAAGGAAAGACUCAAAUGAAUGGAAAAAAAAAA